AGAGAGAGAGAGCGUUCGAUUCUAAUGGCGACGAGAGGGAAAACAUAGAUGAACGCGCUGAGGUUUCAUGGCGACAAGAUAACUUUCGAUUCUAAUGGCGACGAGAGAGCAAAAACGAGUGCGUGUUCGUGUUCAAACUAGGACGAUGACUCUGAUGUUUAUAAGUACGAAGGUGAUUCAGAACAAAAACAUUAGUCGGCUUUCUUACACUAAGUAACAAUAUCAAACUUAUCGAUGAGAAGGUGUGUGUUCGUGUUACUCAGAUUAAUGUUUUGAAAGAUGAUGGAUUAG